CGACGGGCAGGCCUGAGCCGGGCUCCCGCGGCUGGGGUGGCAGGAGGAGAGGCCGCGCGGCGCGGGGAGAGCCCAGAUUACUCCAGACCCUGAGCCACCGAUAACUCUCCAAGACGAUACCUGCCAUAGAAUACAUGCUAAACAAUCAUCUAUUGAACAAAUGCGACUGGAAACCAAAUUAUCAAUUUUAGCAGAUACAUAACAGUUGCCUUAUAUUAGAUUCAGACACUGACAGGAAGUGAAGCCCUAGAAAGUGAAGCCCUUUCAAAGCCCUGCUGAUGACAGGGCCUGGAUCCCUGAGUUACUGGUUGGAGUGGAGUUACCUGGAGUUGCCUCCCGAGCAGGAACAUCCAUGUUGGACAUUUUAGGAAACAAGCUGCUGGAUUCCCAUCUCGGGACAUG
rnacentral:lncRNA from 1 species